rnacentral:rRNA from 1 species
GUGCUAUACAUGCAGUCGAGCGAACAGAUAAGGAGCUUGCUCCUUUGACGUUAGCGGCGGACGGGUGAGUAACACGUGGGUAACCUACCUAUAAGACUGGAAUAACUCCGGGAAACCGGGGCUAAUGCCGGAUAACAUUUAGAACCGCAUGGUUCUAAAGUGAAAGAUGGUUUUGCUAUCACUUAUAGAUGGACCCGCGCCGUAUUAGCUAGUUGGUAAGGUAAUGGCUUACCAAGGCAACGAUACGUAGCCGACCUGAGAGGGUGAUCGGCCACACUGGAACUGAGACACGGUCCAGACUCCUACGGGAGGCAGCAGUAGGGAAUCUUCCGCAAUGGGCGAAAGCCUGACGGAGCAACGCCGCGUGAGUGAUGAAGGGUUUCGGCUCGUAAAACUCUGUUAUUAGGGAAGAACAAACGUGUAAGUAACUGUGCACGUCUUGACGGUACCUAAUCAGAAAGCCACGGCUAACUACGUGCCAGCAGCCGCGGUAAUACGUAGGUGGCAAGCGUUAUCCGGAAUUAUUGGGCGUAAAGCGCGCGUAGGCGGUUUCUUAAGUCUGAUGUGAAAGCCCACGGCUCAACCGUGGAGGGUCAUUGGAAACUGGGAGACUUGAGUGCAGAAGAGGAAAGUGGAAUUCCAUGUGUAGCGGUGAAAUGCGCAGAGAUAUGGAGGAACACCAGUGGCGAAGGCGACUUUCUGGUCUGUAACUGACGCUGAUGUGCGAAAGCGUGGGGAUCAAACAGGAUUAGAUACCCUGGUAGUCCACGCCGUAAACGAUGAGUGCUAAGUGUUAGGGGGUUUCCGCCCCUUAGUGCUGCAGCUAACGCAUUAAGCACUCCGCCUGGGGAGUACGACCGCAAGGU